GUCAAUCAAUAGCUUUGUUGUUAAUAUUUCUAGACUUGUCUAUUGAACAUUUGAAGCUGAUGAUCCUGGAGCUUCACAAGUAUCAUGUUAUAAAGACAAUCAUAUAGGAGUAUGUAUUCCAGGAUCUGCAAGUGAAAGCAAAUGCAACAGUUUAUGUCAUAGCAGUUCUUGCGGUAAAGGAGGCUUCUGCAAAGUUUUAUCACAGCCUCCUCCUAACCAUUAUUGCCAUUGUUAUUGUUAAUCUAUAUAUUCUAUAGUUUCGCAAAUAAUUAUAAAAAAAAAAGUAAGAAACUUUCAUGCUUUAACAUUCAUCCUAUGUAACGGCUUAUCCUAAAUGAAAGCCUUGACAUUUAAUAUAUAAUAUAAAAUAUAUUAU